rnacentral:misc_RNA from 1 species
UAAUAUAAUUUAGGCCAAACAGGAAAGCAAAUUUAAUUAGCACAAUUAUAUUCCUCAAUUCUGUUUCCUUUUUCAAUACAUUAUGGUUAACCUUGCAUGGGCUUCUAUGUCUAGUUUUAACAUCCUCAUAUUUUCUUGGUGGCAUUGGAGCUAAGUGCUAUUUGGGUAAGUUAACCUAAUAUUCAACUCCGGUCCUAUCAACUGGAUUGACAAAACACUAGUCACUUGAUUUUUUUCACCUUUAUCAAGCUGAUUGCACACUGCUUUUAUUGUAGGAAAUGAUGAGGGGUAGGUAUUUUGGCAAAACACACUGUGAAGGACGUUGGCAAAGGCCUAAUAUAAGAUAUUAAUAAUUUUAUGGUUCUUACUAGGAAGAUUAUUCAAUUAUUUCAUUCUACUGCUUUGAUUUUCUUAUAAAUUUAAUA